GCCCAGGUGGCUCAGCAGUUUAGCGCCACCUUCGGCCUAGGGCGUGAUCCUGGAGACCCGGGAUCGAGUCCCACAUUGGACUUCCUGCGUGGAGCCUGCUUCUCCCUCUGCCUGUGUCUCUGCCUCUCUCUCUUCCUCUCUCUCUCUGUCUCUCAUGAAUAAAUAAAAUCUUUAAAAACAAUUUUUUUUUGUCAACCUAAAUUUUAUCCACUCAGCAAUUCCGUGAGAGGUAGUCAGAUAUGUACACAAAGAUAUGUAUACAGUGAUAUUGAAUGCACCAUUGUUAAUAAUUAUUAGAAAACUGGAAACAAUUUAAAACUUCCUUAGUAGGGGGUUAAUUGAAUAAAUCCUGGACAUGCACAUUAUGGAAUGUUCAGAUUGUAAAGAGAAUGAGAGGUACGCAUAAUCUAUUUUUAAGUGAAACAUGUAUCUUCUGGAACAGUAUGAUUUUUUUGAAUCUGAGUCUUAUUUUAGGGAAAAGGAAUGUUUGUAUAUGCACUAAAAAUUUCAGAAGGCAAUACACCAAAUUGGCAUCAGCUGUCUGGUAGAAUGUGAUUAAGUGUGAUGGUCAUCACUUUCUAAUUUUUAUAUUUCUAUUUUUUUACAUUAAAAAAUAAUGACCAUGUAUGUUAUAAUCAGUAAGAAUAGUAAAUAUAGAUUAUGACUACGUUCUCAUUUUAUUGCCUGGCAUUUUUCAUGAACUUCAGCUGAUUCUGUUCAUUAGCCUUCCUAAGACUGUUUCCAUAAGACUACACCAUUCAUUUAUACUUCACAUUUGUUGUGUUUUCCUUCCUUUGGUUCCUUGUAUAUGUCCUUCAAAAAUCUGAUGUUCAGUGGAAAGCUUUCAGUGUUACCUUGAGAAGCCCUUUCAAUACUACUCAUUUUCGUCCUCAUCAGGAAGUGGUGUAGAUCGGUACUUAAGUGUAUACACUGAUUUGAAUUCAGAUGCUGGCAUUUUUUAGUGCAUGACCUUGGGCAGGUAGUUGCAGAAUAUCCACAAUAUAAUCAUAAUUUUGUUGUGAAAGGUUGCUACGGAGAUUUAAUAAGUGAAUACGUAUGUAAGCACUUAGAACAAUUCCUGACAAGAGUCAGUGGCCAGUAAAUGUUAUGCUGCUGCUGUCACUACUAAUUUUUUUUUAGGAUCAGUUCUUGUUUUGAGAAUCUUCUUUUCAUAUUUUCUAGAAUAGCCUCAGUCCGUGAAGUCAUAUGGUGAUCUGUCGGCAUCAUAACCAGCAUGUGAUGAAUUUUUUGAAAUCCGACUUUUACCAUUCUCAAAAAUCAAAGAAACUCUUUGGACUCUACUUAUAUGGCUCCUCUCUGGCUCUUGAGAUUUUUUCAGAUGUUAAAUGCGGUCUCUCCUGUCCUUGGAUUCAUAUCACCAACUGACUUCUUCCAGUGUUACAAGUAAAUGUUUAUUAGUGCCAGGUGCAUAUCCUUUUAAUAGGUGAGAAGCAGGGAUAAUAUGUUCAAAUCUUUACAGAAGCCAGAUAGGUGGUACGAACAAAGUUGUGUAGGUGUGACAGGAAGGAGUGCUGGUCAAGGGAACCUGGAAAUCCUGAUUUUUGUAUGGGCCAGACAAAACUCUUUGUGGCUUCUGCCUUUGAAGAGUUUAUGGUGUUUUUAUUUAAGAAUGGUAUGAUUGAUUGGCUUGCUUAAAUUUCAUUGUAAUUUUUAUUAAAUCUAGAUUUAUAUAACCUUUAGCAUUUCUUAUGUACAUCUAAGUCUUUACACAAGAAAGCUGUCAGAUUUAUCAAGGAUAGUCAGUUGAUUACAUAGUGCACUCGUGUCUAUGGUAAUGUUGAUUUUAGUCAUAGUAACUGCUUUCUAUAGCUCUAAGUGUGCAGACUUGCUUAGGUUUAUGGAACAACAUGUCUCUUCCCAAUAAAGAUAAUUUUUAUCUGUGUUAGGACAGUUGGGAAAAUGUUUUUUUUUUUUUUUUUUUUUUUUAAUGAUCCCCUCCCCUCAGCACACUGGGUUGCCAAACCUUGGAUUAUUUCAUUGGGUGUGUAUUAUUGUGGCAAGAGUUUUUAGUAGCAUAUUUCUAAAGACUGCUUUCAACGACUCUGCAAAUCUGAGAAGCAGUCAGUGGUUGCUAAGAGACAUACUAUUCAAGUGUCCCCAUAAACAUAUGUACUGCUGGAGAUUGCGAUUUAGCAAUUUGUAUUUCACAUUUGCAGUUAUAUUUAGCUGAAAGGUGCUGUGAUUAUCAUGCAACUUAUGCAAAUUGGUUACCCUGUCCUUAAAAGUGACCUUUUGUUAUUGUGUUUUAAAAAUUCAAGACAAAUUGGACUCGACACAAACCUACUUGUUAAUAAAUUUUAAGUUCU
rnacentral:lncRNA from 1 species